rnacentral:lncRNA from 10 species
CCCGCAAGCAGCGGCUCAUGGCAGCCGUAGGCGAGCGGGCGGCGGGCGGCGCGCCACUCUCCUGCUUCAUCUGCGGCGGCGGCAUCGGGCGCGGCAAGGAGCUGAAGCUGCAGGUGAAGCAGCCGGCGGCGGGCGCGGGGACCCCGGCGCAGCCCUUCUUCCCGUUCCUGCAGCAGCAGGAGCCGGCGCCCGGCGCGCGCGAGCUGUCCCCGGCCGACGGCUGCGUGCUGGUGUGCGCCGUGUGCCGCUGCUUCCUGGGCGAGCAGUGGGCCGCCUUCGAGCGCGCCCGCACGCCGGUGGACAAGCGCAUGUACUGGCUUAAGCGGCCCCACCAGUGCGACGCGGNNNNNNNNNNNNNNNNNNNNNNNNNNNNNNNNNNNNNNNNNNNNNNNNNNNNNNNNNNNNNNNNNNNNNNNNNNNNNNNNNNNNNNNNNNNNNNNNNNNNCGCCGUGGCGGCGCCGGGGCCCCCCGCGAGUGGAACGUCGCCUACGCGCUGGGCAGCGCCGGCGGCGACGACGACGAGGACGACGGUGGCGGCCCCCGGCUCCGCGGGGCCGCUGAGGAGACGCGAGACUCUGACCUGUCGGAGCUGUCGGACACGGACCCACUUUCCGAGCCCGACCCGCCCGCGCGGGACGCCGCCAGCCCCCACCAGGACGGGGCCCCGGGGCCAGGGCCUCGCGGGGGGCGCGGCCAGGAGUGGAGGCCAACUCCGGGACCCGCUCUGGGACAGGGCGCAGAGGCCCCGGCGCAGGGGCGCGCGGAGCACGAGGGGCUCCCCGCGAAGGCCCACACAGAUGGGGAGCCUAAGGCCGGGGUUAGGCGCCGGCGGAAGGGGGUUGGGAGGCACUGGGUUCCCGAGGCCCGGGCCAGCGUCCUGAGGGGCAUUCAGGAUCCUUGGCAAGGCCCUCCUGUCCAAGAGGCUUCUGCAGACGGCAUGAAAGGGCCUCCCUCUGGCAGAGCCUCUAAGCCCCUGGAGAGCAGGCCGCUGAGGGAGACCCUCCGCGGCUUCUGCACAUCCGAGGACAGUGACAUCAAUAUCACCAGUGGGGAAGAGGACCACAAGGAGCAGCCUUUCCCAGGCGUCUGCAACCCCAAAGAGAAGGAGAACAGUGGCCGUGUCCCCCGGGCUCUCCCAGACAGCCGGGCGGCACCACCAGAGGGCCUUUGCUGCUACAUCUGCGGGUCCCCGCUGUCCCCGGCCUCGCACCACCAGGUCCACGUGCAGAAGCAGGAGAAGCUGGCGCAGGCCCCGUUCUUCCCCUUCCUGUGGCUGCACAGCCCGCCCCCAGGGGCACAGCCCAUCAGCGAGGGCGGCAGCACCCUGGUGUGCGCCAGCUGCUUCUCCUCCCUCACGCAGCAGUGGCAGAGCUUCGAGCUGGCCAACGUGCCGGUGCUGCAGCGACUCUAUGUGGUGCCCCUGGACAGCCACGCCCCCGGCAUGGCCUCCAAGGGCAGGAGGCUCCCUAGAGAAGAGGGCCUGCCCUCCGGGGCCCUGCGAGAGGCCUGCUACCUCUGUGGGGAGGACUGUACCCCAGAUGCCCGGGCGGUCCCCUCCAGGAUCCUCAAUGGCAACGCGAGGAGCGCCAUGCAUUUCCCCUUCCUCAGCCUCCUUCCCUGCCCGCCCAACGCCCAGGGCCCCAACAAGCGCUGUGAGGUCCGCAGCUGCCCCAAGUGCUUCAGCGUCCUGGAGGAUGUCUGGGCCCUGUACAGGGCCUGCCAGAACGAGGAGCUCAUCACCUCCGUGCAGGGCUUCCUGGGCAGGUACCACCAGGCCUUCUCCGCCUCUGACCCUGCCCUCUCCGAGCUGCCCGCCUCAGCCCAGGGCGGUCCCGUGUCCAUCUGCUACAUCUGUGGGGCUGAGCUGGGCCCCGGGAAGGAGUUCCAGCUCAACGUGAACCCUGCCAGCCGCUUGGGCGAGAAGGAGCCCUUCUUCCCCUUCCUGACCGUGUACCCGCCUGCCCCUCGUGCCAGGCCUGUGGACUCCACCGGCCUGGUGGCCACCUGUGUGCUCUGCUACCAUGACCUGCUGGCCCAGUGGCUGCAGCAUGAGGCCCGCAGCACCCACCACGCUGUCAGCGCCUGGUCCCGGCAGUACCAGGUGGAGACGUUCGUGUGCUUCUUUUGCCAGCAGGAGAAGAAACGGUGUCUGGGCCUGAAGUCCGUGCGGGUGGCCCGGCUGCCCCUGUUCCUAUACACCCUGCGAGCAAGCCACAGCCUGUUGGUGGAUGACGGACAGCAGCUGAUCAUCGGCGCUUGCGUGGAGUGUGGGACCCUGGUGUGUGCAGGUCAAGGGGUCAGCCGCCAGGGACCCAUGAACUGGAGCUCCCCAGUGGCAGCAGCGACGAAGGGACAUCUGAGGUCUGCGGAGAGCGUCUGUCGUCACCCGCCCAUCAGGCCACGUGCACAUCUGUUUCCCAUGCUUCCUGGCUAUCUGCGCCCACACAGUUCCCUGGUCCUCAGGGGGCCUGGCUGCCCCUCCUCCCCAGGCCCAGGCUCUUGGAACACCUGGUCAGGACUGAUUGGAAGGGGGGACCUUCUGGAAGGUGCCACAGGAGGCAGCCUGGCUGGGGCUGGCACUGGCACCCUCUCCUUGGCAGCAACUGGAAAGUGGCCAGGCCCUUCUCAAGCUCGGAGGCGUGAGCUUUCCAGAUGUGCCCCUCCUGAACCUGGAGGCAGUCGGAGAAAACCAGGGGAAGGAGGAAGUGAAGGCGAAAGGUCUUCAAAACUCGGCCUACCCUGGAAGCAGGAGGGGGAAGGGGUGAGCCUGGAGGAGCCAGGGUCUGCCAAGCUUCCUGGUUCCUCCUCUGCUUAGAUCUCUCGAGAUCUCACCCUUGUGAGGUUAACUCUGCUGGGAGUGUCUUUGGAGGAUGUAUAACUUCUGGGCACGUUUUCUUGGCUGGGGAAGACCCCAUGUCCAGAAUUCAGGGCCCUUUGCCGCCUCAGGUCCCGGUUCUAGUGGGGACACUGAAGAGAGAUGCCAUGUCUGUCCUCGGAGAAGAGCAUUGCAGGACUUGCCUCCUGACUUCACGUGGCCCCAAGUAGGACACUCUUGGGGUCAGUUGUGGAAGGAGCCCCUCCCCACUGGACGACUUUCACCCAGUUUCCCCAUCGGUCAAAACGACAGGACUGGUCUGCAAAGGUCACAGGCGAUUUGCAUUGUAUACGUGGUGUCUCAUUCCGCCGUCUCGGGCUGUGUUAAGAAGGGUUCUGAGGCCGUGUCUAGACUCUCUGAGAAAAUGUCUUGUGAUUUAUUGGCGGUCUCUGCUGCGGGACUAGGAACAGGAGCAUGACUUCGUCUUGGGGCCUGGUUCAAAUUUAGUAUGUGAUACCGGGACCCCAAAACGACAUGUUACGGUCAGGAAGAAUCUCACAGACCGUCACUUUCAGACAACGCUACACCCUGGCAGUGCUGGGCCGGGGACGAGCUGCAGUCCCACCUCCCGUCCCUGUGCGAGCCUCUACCCUCAUCCAUGGCUGCCUUGGAGAAGCACACCCACAUUCUACCCACUCGCAGAACAAUGUGUCUGCCCUGGGCCAGGCAUUCUGGGAGCACCUGCUGUGACAUCAGCCAUCCCCUGACCUCAAGGUGCUGGUGGGCGAUGAGAGGUGGAGGGACUGGUGAAGAGGUCCAGCCAUGGCUGUGCAGUGCAUUGAGUUCUGAGCUGAGAUCAGGAUAGGAUCUGCUGAGAGCCUUUGGCAGAGUGAGAAACAGGUGUGCACAGGGAAGGCUUCCUGGAGGAGGUGACAUCUAAGCUGAGUCCUGAAGACUGAAAACGAUUCAGCCAAGUCUGAGUAGGGGCCAUGUGCUCCUGGAAGAGGAGCAGGUGUUAAGGCCUGGAUGUUGGGGGUUGAUGUGCUGGAGAACGUUCAUUUUGCAUGGAGCCGGAAGAGGGGACGGGCAUGAGGGGUGGGCAGGACCAGCAUUCCCGGCAGUGUUUGGAAUCCCCGGAUGCACACUGGAAUCAACGUCAAUCAAUCUGAAUUUGAAAAUAUCAACGACAGGGCCCUGCCCCCCUCCUGUUAAAUCAGAAUCUCUGAGGGUUGGUCCCUGGCCCUGGUAUUUUAAAGCUUCUAGAAGAUUCAAGUACAAAGGUGAGAACUGCUGACAGACGGCAUCAUCAUGGGCACAGCUAAGGAGUCGGAUUUAUCCUUGAAGGCAACGGGAAAAGGAUGCUAUUCCAGGUUUCAGCCUGUCUUUACUGAGUGCCCAUGGCACUGCUCUAGACACCAGGACCCAGCAGUGAGCAACCAGGCAGGGUCUUGGGGGCAGUGAUGGUAGCCAGCAGAGUGGCUGGAGAGAAGGGUGGCAGGGGCCUGCCACCUGCACAGUGAGGAGGGUUCUGGCCCCUCCCGAGGUGGGACUGAGGGACAGUGAGGAGGAAGGUGCG